GAUAACCAAAGGUCACAAGGAGUACCUGAGAAACUACCAGAACCCGAACCCCAGGACCUAUGUCAGCCAGAAAGGCUAUUCCUUCGUCAAGGGGCACACCGAGGUGCUGUCUACCAAGAUUACCCCAUUGAAAGCAAAGGUGGCAGUAACAGAGGGUGAUGCCAUGGAGGAGUGAAACUGCACUCUCGUUCUAAACAAGUUGAUGUUACUCUUCAUAUUCCUUUUGGUUGUAAGGUUGGUUGUAAGGACGACUUGACGGUUAUUGUGAUG
rnacentral:misc_RNA from 1 species